CAAAAAGGGAAGAGCCGAGAGGAGCCCCUUUCCUUUUUUCCUUUUCCUCUUCUUCUACUCGACGUGGAUGGCCAAACCGAGAUUACGAAAGCAGGCGUGAGCACUCAGUACCAUGCAGUCACCAGUGAACUGCCCCGAACCAGAGCGUCACCAUAGACAAGAAAAAUUAUGCAAAUGAAGUAGCGCCUUGGAAAGCCAGUUCAAAUCAAGUGGUUGCCUCUCCUCCUCCCCCAACCAAAUGAGGUAGUGGGUCUAAAAAAAUAAUAAUACAUCGUUACAAAUAGCAAAGUCCUUCCCUAAAGUGUUUUAAAUCUUUUUUGUUAUUAUUUACUCCAGGUCCUCCAGUGGAAUUAUGAACCCAGUAGAUGAGAUGUUGGAGAGAGAGAGCGAAUACAAAGGAAUAAUCAGGCGCUGACCAGGCUGCAUUUCCAUUUCCAUGGGACAUAAAGGGCUUCUAUCUGCCGCUUAAUCAUUAACCCCCAUUUUUGCAUCCAAUUCUGCGUUUUGUGAAAGGACGCGCAGAUUCGUUUCACUGCUAUUCCUUGCACGGCUUUUCCUACAAAGCAUGUAAUAUUAUGUGAUUUUUUUUCUAUUUUUUAUUUUUAUCUUUUAGAUUGGAAACUACAGCUCCAGAUCAAAGCUGCGCUUGCUGCAUAUCAAGGGAAAAUCCCACCAGGGGCAGAGUGUGAAAAAUGGGCAGAAGUUUCAUCACCAAAAGGCAAAGCGGAGGACAUGCAGCGAUGAACAGGGGAGAAGGGAGACGGCAGCAGGGGGAAUCCCUCUUCAUGAUGCGAAAUAGUCACCAGGAUUAUGUGGCUCGACAUGACCGUGCACUGGAAGAUAAUCCCACGUUGGCUGUCGCCACAGCACCUGAACUUUUCCCUGACCCGGGCAGAGACAUGGAGAGUCGAGUGAGGAGUUAUUUGGGGUUCAGACGAAGGAAGAUGUAGAAAUGAAAGGCCCUCGGCUGGUAGCUUACUUUAUGCACUGAGUAAUAUUUUCCACACUUGCCAUCUCCACAAAAGUAGCAAUUGACGGAUUGUGUUUUAUAUCUCGACUGUUUUAACAUAAAAUAAACGUUUCAGAUGUUGUUUUUUUUUUACGCAAGGCUGCUUAUCACUGUCAGCGAAGAGGAGUUAGAGACGCAGACCUCUGGAUAUUGGCCAGACGGCGGUCCAUAUCUUCCCACGGUGUUGACACUCGGAGCUCUUAACAGCCAGGCUUGAGUUACCGAUACUCUCAGUCGAAGAUAACGCUUUCUGCGAGGUUUGCCGCGGCCAACAUCAAGGCUAAUGCGAAAUUCAACGCCUUGAGCUGAUGAGCGCAGUCAUCUCUAAUAAAGCAACACCGUGGUGUGCGAGGACAGGGGACUUGUUUGCUUAGAGGACAAUGGAAUAAAGCAGUUUUAAUUUUUCUGUU